GAUGAACGCUGGCGGCGUGCCUAAUACAUGCAAGUCGAGCGAACGGACGAGAAGCUUGCUUCUCUGAUGUUAGCGGCGGACGGGUGAGUAACACGUGGAUAACCUACCUAUAAGACUGGGAUAACUUCGGGAAACCGGAGCUAAUACCGGAUGAUAUUUUGAACCGCAUGGUUCAAAAGUGAAAGACGGUCUUGCUGUCACUUAUAGAUGGAUCCGCGCUGCAUUAGCUAGUUGGUAAGGUAACGGCUUACCGAGGCAACGAUGCAUAGCCGACCUGAGAGGGUGAUCGGCCACACUGGAACUGAGACACGGUCCAGACUCCUACGGGAGGCAGCAGUAGGGAAUCUUCCGCAAUGGGCGAAAGCCUGACGGAGCAACGCCGCGUGAGUGAUGAAGGUCUUCGGAUCGUAAAACUCUGUUAUUAGGGAAGAACAUAUGUGUAAGUAACUGUGCACAUCUUGACGGUACCUAAUCAGAAGGCCACGGCUAACUACGUG
rnacentral:rRNA from 1 species